UUGUGUCUCUUUUCAGUGCUGAAUGAAAGUAAACACCUUCGCAAUUCCUGUUUGUCCCCAAAAAAGACAGAAAAAUAUCCUCAUUAUGUUCAUUGGAGACAUAGAUUUGCAUGCAUAUAUCCUCCUCUUUCCAGAGUUCCGUACUUGUGUGGAGUUGAACUUGAACUGGUAAGCUCGGAUCAACAUUUGGUUUAAUUCGAAGUAGUCAAGAUCAUUGUUGGGAGCCAUGGAUCCUGACCCAAUAUGAUGCUUCUACCAUUGCCUAUAUUAAAUUGAGCCACCGCAAGUUGCACACCACGUCCUCUUAGAAGGGAGGUUCAACCAUAAGAUGGUUGCAUGUGACUUGUGAUCCUUGUUUAGCCGUUAACAACGUCCCUCGUGAGAAGUUGUCCGCGUCCGUGUCAAUCUUUGUUUACGAAAUUAGUUAGUAUCUGAUGUAUCUUCCAAACUUGAUU